rnacentral:rRNA from 1 species
GACGAACGCUGGCGGCGUGCUUAACACAUGCAAGUCGAACGGGAUCCGGGCUUUCGGGUUUGGUGAGAGUGGCGAACGGGUGAGUAACACGUGAGUAACCUGCCCCCUUCUUUGGGAUAACGUCGGGAAAUCGGCGCUAAUACUGGAUAUUCUUGCUGCAUCGCAUGGUGUGGUUUGGAAAGGGUUUCUGGUGGGGGAUGGGCUCGCGGCCUAUCAGCUUGUUGGUGGGGUGAUGGCCUACCAAGGCUUUGACGGGUAGCCGGCCUGAGAGGGUGUCCGGCCACACUGGGACUGAGACACGGCCCAGACUCCUACGGGAGGCAGCAGUGGGGAAUAUUGCACAAUGGGCGCACGCCUGAUGCAGCGACGCCGCGUGAGGGAUGACGGCCUUCGGGUUGUAAACCUCUUUCAGUAUGGAACAAGGAUCCUUCUUUUGGGGGGUUUGAGGGUACGUGCAGAAGAAGCGCCGGCUAACUACGUG